rnacentral:lncRNA from 1 species
GAACCUGUGUUUGAACAGCACUGUCAGGUUGACAAGCCCAGACUUCUAGGUCACACCAACAGCCACUGUCUCAACUUAUCUAUGCGUUAAGUGUACAGUGACUAUAUCAAGAAAAUAGGGACGAGAAAAUAUGACACGAUAUAGUCAAAUAUGAAGGAACAGAUUUUGCUUGGAUUAUGUGCUAUACUGUUAGGAUCACUGGUCAAAGCACCUGCACCUGAUGAAAACUUAGAAGUUAGUGACUUUGGAGCAGUAUAUGUGCAAUCAACAAAUUAUCCGAGGGAUUAUCCAAACAAUGAGAACUCGUGGAUGGAUGAUCCAGACCAAAUCUGAAGGUUAUGUGAUUGAUCUUCACACGAAGAAUUUCCAUCUUGAAUAUGACGAUAAUUGUCUCUUCGACUAUGUCUUCAACUUUAUGAUGGUCAAGAUGAUUCAGCGCCGUUUCUCGGCCGUUGGUGUGGCAGCAUCACUGGCCCAAACAAGCAGAAAUUACAGGACCAAGCUAUGUUCGUGAAAUUCCACUCAGAUGCUCAAGGACCAACUUAGGAUUCAAAUUUUAUAUUUCCGAAGAAAAGCCCCUGUGUAUUUCAAUACCAGCUACGUUGGACCCAUCAUUGGAGGAGUCAUUAGCAUAAUUGUGCUGUUGAUAAUCAUCCUCAUUUCAUGUGUGUUCUGUAGAAGAAGAAAAUCUUACAGAGACGACCAAAGUCCAAUAGAUCUCAACAGGAUUAAUAAUGGUUCCCAUGCAUCUAAUGACAACGUUUUCUCUCUACAUCCUGUCCCUGAUCACAUGGGUUCUGCACCCCCACCGUCUUAUGAUGAGGCUGUUAAACAUGACCCUCCACCGUAUUGUGAGGUGGUUUUCCUCCUCCGCAUACAUCCUUCAUGAUACAGUGGUGGUUGAAAUGUAAAGGCUCAAUGCCUAUUUGUGGAUAAUUCAAAACAUGUUUCAGAUAUACUUUCCUAUGUACAUAUAGUGCCACUGAAUAAAUUGAAUGCGAAAUAUGUUUGUGCAACAACCUUGAAUUCUUAUAGAAACUUUCGCUAUAGUUUCACAUGCUAUCAGGUGUGUGUACUGUGCGGGGUGAAACAUUUUGCAAUACCUGAACUCUUAUCGACAAACCAAGUGAGUGAAAAAUUGUUGCAAGCUAUGAUCAACACUUACUUGAUAUCUGCAGCAUGAAUGUGCUGUUAUUUCUUUAACAGAUUAUAAAUAUAUGGUCCGGAGAUAUAGUCAAUGCACGCUCAACUGUGGACAAAUAUAAUUCCCCCCAACAUUGUUGAAAUAACGAUCUUACUGAUGACAUGUCACGCUCUCAUUUCAAUUAUGAUGGAAUAUUUAGAACCACAAUUACACACACGGCGUGGAAAUUGUCAGAGGCUAAGGUGCAUAUGGUGUACACAUGUCUGGAGACGAAGGAAAAGAGCUCUGGUUCCCACACCAUCAUGCAUGGGACGGUUUACUGUGAAGGAUCAAGCAUGGUAUAGGGAUGCAUUUUCUUGCAGGUUGCAAGAUUGAUCUCUUCACCAUUCAUGGUAAUCUUAAUGGGCCACGGUAUUAUCAGGAGAUCCUUGAGAGGGCUGUAGACCCACAUAUUGAUAACCAUCCUCUAGUCACAAGACUUAUGUUUAUGAAUGACAGGCUUCCCAGAGCACGUGCUGUCAGCCCAGUUCUUGCAACAGAAUGCUGUUGAAACCAUCCACUGUGGCCAGUCAUGUGUCCAGAUAUCAAUCCCAUUGAGCAUCUGUGGGACACUUUUAGGUCGUCGUGUUCUGCAGAGACCUACCAGUGCAAACGUUCAAUGAACUGGACUACAGUUUUGCGUGAGAAAUUUGUAGAAUCAAAUCCGGGGUUGAUCUUUGAAUAAAUUGUUCGUGCAUGGAGGUCACACAAGAUACUGAUGGAAAGUCAGUAUUUGGACUUGCUAGACGUUAUUUUGAAUUGCGUGAACAAGAUGUGUGCAUUAUACUGGCAGCCAAGUCACGAAAGGAAAGAGAAAUUCGUGAUGUUUUGCAUUAAAUGAAGCCAUUUUCAAAAUUCAGUACUACCCUGACUUUGGACCCCAGUGCUAUAUAUAAAUUAAUACAGGUAUAAACGGUUCAUAAAAAGUUACUCAGUCUGAGAAAAUAAUACGGUCGUUGUUUAAAUGACUUCCAAAUGUGUAGUGUCCCAACAUUUCUAUCAAGUCUGGGGUUUCAAUUAUUCAAGUACCAUCAUUUUAUGUAUAUGAUUUGGCAUGCAAUGUAUCCCACUCUUUACAUGGUGUGUUUCCAAGACAUUCAACAUGCCAGUGACACGCUUAAAAAAAUCUAUGAGUACAAUAA